AUUUUUCUGCAGUGGAAGUAUCAUAGCCUAUGAGGUUCAUCCAAGGUGUGAUUAUUGCUAAUUGAGACUUUUGACCAAUACCCUGCCUUAUUGACUUGAAACUUAAUCAGGUAUCGCAAUUUUUUUAUAGCUUUCUUUGAGA